rnacentral:lncRNA from 1 species
AGGUCAAUGAAAUCAAAUCUUCUAAAUUAUUAGGUGCAUAAAAUGAUAUAGUUAUGGUAAUAAUUUAUUUAUAGCCUCCCAUUAAGGUGCAUGAUAAUGAGUCCAAUGUUUCAAAUAGGCAUUAGAGGUCUCAAACGCUUGGUGUCUAUUAGACAUUGGAAUUAUCAUUCAUCAUAUGAUCAUUUUAUUGUACCUUCAGAUUAAUGCU